rnacentral:rRNA from 1 species
UACGGAGGGUGCGAGCGUUGUCCGGAAUCACUGGGCGUAAAGGGCGCGUAGGCGGCGCGGAUAGUCGGCGGUGAAAGCCCGGAGCUCAACUCCGGGUCGGCCGUCGAUACUUCCGGGCUUGAGCACUGUAGAGGCAGAUGGAAUUCCGGGUGUAGCGGUGGAAUGCGUAGAGAUCCGGAAGAACACCGGUGGCGAAGGCGGCAUCCUGGACCGGCAUUGACGCUGAGGCGCGAAAGCCAGGGGGAGCAAAACGGGG